UACGUACUCCCUCCAUCCCAAAAUUCUUGUCUUAGAUUUGUCUCCAUUCCUCCGUAUCUAGACAAAUCUAAGACAAGAAUUUUGGGACGGAGGGAGUACAAA
rfam:Triticum aestivum genome assembly, contig: Triticum_aestivum_CS42_TGACv1_scaffold_569575_7AS